CACUGCGGGGACUUCUUGCCCUUCUCCUCCUUUUUCUUCUUCACUUUGAGCUUCUUGGCCUGGCCCCAGGUGGCUUCGUGCUGCUUGGAGCCGGCAGCAUGGGACUGUGGGACGGAGGGCAGCGCGGGGAGAGGCGUUGGGUUGGACUGGAAGCGGGACGGCGCCGACCCAGCCCUGGCCUGCCUUGGGCGAGGGGCGGCUCUUACCUUCCCCUCCGCAUCCGAGUCACUGGAGGAGCUGCUGCUGCUGCUGCUGGAGUCUGAGGAGCUGCCACCGCCAUGCUUGGGCGUGUGGGAGGGUGACAGUGAGGGCGGGGAACCCCUUGCCCAGACCCCCCACCCCCAAGUCGGGAAGCCGAGGUGCGACAAGAUCAGGACCAGAGCCAAGCCCUGGUCGCCCCAUCCCCCUCUGCGUGCCUGGUGGUGAGGUGACUUACCCUUGGUUGCGGAGGUGCCCCUGUCUCUGACCGGCCCUGAGCUUUGGGGGGACUGUGCCUGGGGUCCCUCACCUGGCCUGCCCCCUCCGGCUUCUUGGAAGUGGAGUCCAGGGCUGCGGAGAAAGAAGUUGGGUCGGGUGGGGGGGUGGCAAUGGCCUUCCGGUGACCGCCGUGCAGUCUGCCCCGCGACACCGCAACUCACUCCUCAGGAGCUCACCUGUUGCCAGGUCGAACUCCAUGGUGGUGCGGAGCAGGUGCGUCCCGAGGGCCCGGAGGGCUGGCAGUGUCGCAGGGCGGGUUCGGGGCGGCCAAACCUGUCCGCCCCAGGAAUUCCGACGAGUCCCACCCUCCCAACCUUUGUCCCGCAGCUACUGGGUCCUGACUCACCCGCCCCUCCCUGUAGGAAAAGUCAGCUGCCUGCUCCGGGUCUAGGCCUCCGACGGGUGGGGCUGGGGUGCGGGCAGGUCCCUGGGGAGCGGAUUGAGGGCUGCUGUGAGCUUCCUCUCAAAAGGUCAGAAGGCUGCCCUGAAAGAAUGUCCCUGCAUCCCAUAAUAAGCGACGCCUGGCAGGCACUAGUGCGGGCGGCUCCUGACCAGGCUCUUGGAGUAUUUCGCUCAGGCUCAGCCCUCGCCCGCCUAGGCUGGAGGGGGCCUGCUGCCUUCCAGGCGCAGCUGGGAGCCUGUGUCAGCAGCACAGCGACUUCCAGAAAGUUGAUUCGCUCCGGGUGAAGACAGCUACCCGCUCGGGCUGAGAGAUUGGGUGGAUUGGCGUCCUGGACUGGCUGGGGCACAGGCAGAUUAAUACCCUGGAGAGUGCCACGUGUUGGUUUGGCUUGGUUUUGGAUAAAGGCAGGUGUCUUAGUUUGGGCUGCUUAACAAAUACAUCACAGAUGGAGCCGCUUAAACCACAGUGCAUUUCUCAAUCCUGAGGCUGGGAGUUCCAGACCAAGGUACCAGCAGCGCUAGUGCGUGGAGGGCCACUUCCUGGCUGGGGAACAGCUGCCUUCUCCCUACCUCCUCACCUGCCCAAGAGCAAGAUCUGAGGACACUAAUCACAUUCCUGUGAGCUCCACCCUCGGGACCUCGCAAGAGUCCCACUUCCAAAUACCAUCAGCUGGGAUUGAGCUUAAACAUGUGAAUUUGGAGGACACAGGCAUCCAGUCCAGGACAGUAGUCUUGUUACUAUUUUACAGAGAAGAAGGCCGAGCGGGUACCGGUGAGAUGCGGAACGGACCACGGGAACAGUGACCAUUUAUUGACUAUCUACUUCUCACUGACUAUAAGGAAGAAGAUGGGUGGGAAGAAACCUGAGAAGCCCUGUGGUGAGGCUGACCGUCAUGGCGGGGAGCGUGUGGCAGAGCGAAGUUACUCACCUAAUGGUGGCUAGGAGACCAAGCUCCAUCACAAGGAAGAAGCUGGGGACAAGAUAUACCCUUCAAGGACUCGCCCCAGUCACCUACGACCUCCAAGUAGGCCAGCCUCCUCACAUUUCCACCAGCCUUCCAUGGCGCCACCACCCGGGAGCAAGCCUUCAACACACGUGCCUUUGGGGGACAGUCUAGACCCAAAGUAAAACAAAUACUGACUCCCGGCUACAGCGGACCCUUCUCACCUGAAGGAAGCAGCCAUCCUCAAGGGACCACUAUGACCCUGAGGCUUUUACGUAAUUGCUGCAAUUUAGGAAGAGAUUUCUGGAUUCUGACUUUGAGGAUAGGGAAGUCCGGGUGGCGUGGGAUGGCGUGGGUUGAGGGGAGGGGCUGUCCCCCGUGGGCCUGGUGCUCCUGAGCAUCUGGGGCCUGACAUGGUUGACUGGAAAGGCAUCUGCAGCAACUAGGUUUAGUCUUUCCUGGAGUUCACAAGGGUGGAGCGCCCAGCCCUAUAAACAUCAUGAUCCCUGUUCUGGAAAAUUUUCUUUGAAAUCAACCACAUCCUAGCCGACGGAUGACCUGAAGCACACAGCACGCAGAGGCUGUUUCCUUUCCCACCGGACAACAACGCUGCGCUGGCCUUUGACUACAGCCCAUCUUGCUCUGGCCCUUGAUGUCCUGGGAUAUUUAU